CAGUAGCCAGCGGGAAUACGUAGGUGGCAAGCGUUGUCCGGAAUUAUUGGGCGUAAAGGGCUCGCAGGCGGUUUCUUAAGUCUGAUGUGAAAGCCCCCGGCUCAACUGGGGAGGGUCAUUGGAAACUGGGAAGCUUGAGUGCAGAAGAGGAGAGUGGAAUUCCACGUGUAGCGGUGAAAUGCGUAGAGAUGUGGAGGAACACCAGUGGCGAAGGCGACUCUCUGGUCUGCAACUGACGCUGGGGAGCGAAAGCGUGGGGAGCAAACAGGAUUAGACCCCGGUAGUCCCUGUCUCUUAUACA
rnacentral:rRNA from 1 species